rnacentral:rRNA from 1 species
UACGGAGGGUGCGAGCGUUGUCCGGAAUCACUGGGCGUAAAGGGCGCGUAGGUGGCUCGUGAAGCGUGCGGUGAAAGUCCGAGGCUCAACCUCGGAUCGGCCGUGCGGACUCGCGGGCUCGAGCGUUGUAGAGGCGGGUGGAAUUCCGGGUGUAGCGGUGGAAUGCGUAGAGAUCCGGAAGAACACCGGUGGCGAAGGCGGCCCGCUGGGCAACUGCUGACGCUGAGGCGCGAAAGCUAGGGGAGCAAACGGG